rnacentral:rRNA from 1 species
AUGACUACCGUUCCAGGGUCUCUGGUCUGGGAGCUCGUGAAGAAGAACAACUACUUCUUGAUCAAGCAGUUCGGCAAGAGUAACGCCAAGGUGCAGUUCAGCAAGGGGCCCAACAAUGUCCACUUCUACAAGUUCUCGGGCUUGGCGAACAGCAAGACCGUGGCGGUCCAGCCAUCAGCGGGAGAGGACAAGGUUGUUGUCCUGUCCACGACCAAGACCAAGAAGCGGAACACCCCUGCCAAGCUCCAGCACAAGACUGCGCAAGGAGUUCCGCAAGAUGGCCAAGUCUGUCAAGAACCAGGUAUUAACUCCAGAGUUUUGUACUUGAAUUGCCCUUAUGCUUGGCUUCUAAGCUACAACUAUAAGUCACGGCUUGUCUCUGCUUCCUCCUUGAGUUCAGAGUUGUGGCAUGGCAUGCUUGAUUUUGUGGUGGACUUGUGUCACUAA